rnacentral:rRNA from 1 species
CCUCCGAGAAAAGCGUCGACGCGAGGUUUUAGUCACCCGUACCCCAAACCGACUCAGGUGGGUAGGUAGAGAAUACCAAGGAGAUCGAGAGAAUCGUGGUUAAGGAACUCGGCAAAAUGCCCCCGUAACUUCGGGAGAAGGGGGGCCGGACGCGUGAAGGGAUUUACUCCCGGAGCGUAGAAGGCCGCAGAGACCAGUGGGAAGCGACUGUUUACUAAAAACACAGGUCCGUGCUAAGACGCAAGUCGACGUAUACGGACUGACGCCUGCCCGGUGCUGGAAGGUUAAGAGGAAGGGUUAGCUUCGGCGAAGCUCUGAAUUUAAGCCCCAGUAAACGGCGGUGGUAACUAUAACCAUCCUAAGGUAGCGAAAUUCCUUGUCGGGUAAGUUCCGACCUGCACGAAUGGCGUAACGACUUCCCAGCUGUCUCAACCGCGAACUCGGCGAAAUUGCACUACGAGUAAAGAUGCUCGUUACGCGCAGCAGGACGGAAAGACCCCGUGACCUUUACUACAGCUUGGUAUUGGUGUUCGGUGUGGCUUGUGUAGGAUAGGUGGGAGACUUUGAAGCUGGCACGCUAGUGUCGGUGGAGUCGUUGUUGAAAUACCACUCUGGUCACUCUGGAUGUCUAACCAUGAACCGUAAUCCGGUUCUGGGACAGUGCCUGGUGGGUAGUUUAACUGGGGCGGUUGCCUCCCAAAAAGUAACGGAGGCGCCCAAAGGUUCCCUCAACCUGGUUGGCAAUCAGGUGUCGAGUGUAAGUGCACAAGGGAGCUUGACUGUGAGAGUGACGGCUCGAGCAGGGACGAAAGUCGGGACUAGUGAUCCGGCAGUGGCUUGUGGAAGCGCUGUCGCUCAACGGAUAAAAGGUACCUCGGGGAUAACAGGCUGAUCUUGCCCAAGAGUCCAUAUCGACGGCAUGGUUUGGCACCUCGAUGUCGGCUCGUCGCAUCCUGGGGCUGGAGUAGGUCCCAAGGGUUGGGCUGUUCGCCCAUUAAAGCGGUACGCGAGCUGGGUUUAGAACGUCGUGAGACAGUUCGGUCCCUAUCCGCUGCGCGCGUAGGAAAUUUGAGAAGAUCUAUCCCUAGUACGAGAGGACCGGGAUGGACGAACCUCUGGUGUGUCAGUUGUUCCGCCAGGAGCACCGCUGAUUAGCUACGUUCGGACCGGAUAACCGCUGAAAGCAUCUAAGCGGGAAGCCGUCUUCAAGAUGAGAUUUCCAUCCCUUAGGGGGAGAGGCUCCCAGCUAGACGACUGGGUUGAUAGGCAGGAUGUGGAAGUGGGGACUAAAGACCCAUGCAGCUGACCUGUACUAAUAAGCCGAUAACUCAAAAAG